GAUGAACGCUGGCGGCGUGCCUAAUACAUGCAAGUCGAGCGAACAGACGAGGAGCUUGCUCCUCUGACGUUAGCGGCGGACGGGUGAGUAACACGUGGAUAACCUACCUAUAAGACUGGGAUAACUUCGGGAAACCGGAGCUAAUACCGGAUAAUAUAUUGAACCGCAUGGUUCAAUAGUGAAAGACGGUUUUGCUGUCACUUAUAGAUGGAUCCGCGCCGCAUUAGCUAGUUGGUAAGGUAACGGCUUACCAAGGCAACGAUGCGUAGCCGACCUGAGAGGUUGAUCGGCCACACUGCAACUGAGACUCGGUCCAGACACCUACGGGAGGCAGCAGUAGGAAAUCUUGCGCAAUGUGCGAAAGCCUGACGAAGCGACACCGCGUGAGUGAUGAUGGUCUUCGGAUCGUAAAACUCUGUUAUUAGGGAAGAACAAUUGUGUAAGUAACUAUACACGUCUUGACGGUACCUAAGCAGAAAGCCACGGCUAACUACGUG
rnacentral:rRNA from 1 species